UACGUAGGGUCCUAGCGUUGUCCGGAAUUAUUGGGCGUAAAGAGCUCAUAGGCGGUUUGUCGCGUCUGCUGUGAAAACCUAAGGCUCAACCUUGGGCUUGCAGUGGGUACGGGCAGACUAGAGUGCGGUAGGGGAGACUGGAAUUCCUGGUGUAGCGGUGGAAUGCGCAGAUAUCAGGAGGAACACCGAUGGCGAAGGCAGAUCUCUGGGCCGUUACUGACGCUGAGGAGCGAAAGCGUGGGGAGCGAACAGG
rnacentral:rRNA from 1 species